CUCGUAUGCAGAAAGCUGCUUCAGGGCUGGAGAGAUGGCUCAGCCGUAAAAGGCUAGGCUCACAACCAAAACUAUA
rnacentral:miRNA from 1 species